rnacentral:rRNA from 1 species
UACGUAGGGCGCAAGCGUUGUCCGGAAUUAUUGGGCGUAAAGAGCUCGUAGGCGGCUUGUCACGUCGGGUGUGAAAGCCCGGGGCUCAACCCCGGGUCUGCAUUCGAUACGGGCUAGCUAGAGUGUGGUAGGGGAGAUCGGAAUUCCUGGUGUAGCGGUGAAAUGCGCAGAUAUCAGGAGGAACACCGGUGGCGAAGGCGGGUCUCUGGGCCAUUACUGACGCUGAGGAGCGAAAGCGUGGGGAGCGAACAGG